rnacentral:rRNA from 1 species
UACAGAGGCCCCAAGCGUUACUGAGAAUCACUGGGUUUAAAGGGUGCGUAGGUGGCGCGCUAAGUCGGGUGUGAAAUUUCGGAGCUUAACUCCGAAACUGCAUUCGAUACUGGCGUGCUUGAGGACUGGAGAGGAGACUGGAAUUCAUGGUGUAGCAGUGAAAUGCGUAGAGAUCAUGAGGAAGACCAGUGGCGAAGGCGGGUCUCUGGACAGUUCCUGACACUGAGACACGAAGGCCAGGGAGCAAACGGG